UAUACAUGCAGUCGAGCGGACCGACGGGAGCUUGCUCCCUUAGGUCAGCGGCGGACGGGUGAGUAACACGUGGGUAACCUGCCUGUAAGACUGGGAUAACUCCGGGAAACCGGGGCUAAUACCGGAUGCUUGAUUGAACCGCAUGGUUCAAUCAUAAAAGGUGGCUUUUAGCUACCACUUACAGAUGGACCCGCGGCGCAUUAGCUAGUUGGUGAGGUAACGGCUCACCAAGGCGACGAUGCGUAGCCGACCUGAGAGGGUGAUCGGCCACACUGGGACUGAGACACGGCCCAGACUCCUACGGGAGGCAGCAGUAGGGAAUCUUCCGCAAUGGACGAAAGUCUGACGGAGCAACGCCGCGUGAGUGAUGAAGGUUUUCGGAUCGUAAAACUCUGUUGUUAGGGAAGAACAAGUACCGUUCGAAUAGGGCGGCACCUUGACGGUACCUAACCAGAAAGCCACGGCUAACUACGUGCCAGCAGCCGCGGUAAUACGUAGGUGGCAAGCGUUGUCCGGAAUUAUUGGGCGUAAAGCGCGCGCAGGCGGUUUCUUAAGUCUGAUGUGAAAGCCCCCGGCUCAACCGGGGAGGGUCAUUGGAAACUGGGGAACUUGAGUGCAGAAGAGGAGAGUGGAAUUCCACGUGUAGCGGUGAAAUGCGUAGAGAUGUGGAGGA
rnacentral:rRNA from 1 species